CUGUGGGUCUCCAUUGAAUGUGACCAAUGGUAAGUUGCAAUAUAUCGCAACAACGUUUGGAUCAACCGCUUCUCUUGUCUGUGAUAGAGGAUAUGAUGGAAACGGGACAAUAAGCUGCCUUGACACAGGCAGUUGGGAAACACCAAGUUGUUCUAUUAAAGACUGUGGGUAUCCAUUGAAUGUAACCAAUGGUAAUUUGCAAUAUAUCGCAACAACGUUUGGAUCAACCGCUUCUCUUGUCUGUGAUAGAGGAUACGAUGGAAAUGGGACAAUAAGCUGCCUUGACACAGGCAGUUGGGAAAAACCACCAAGUUGUUCUAUUAUAGACUGUGGGUCUCCAUUGAAUGUGACCAAUGGUAAGUUGCAAUAUAUCGCAACAACGUUUGGAUCAACCGCUUCUCUUGUCUGUGAUAGAGGAUAUGGUGGAAACGGGACAAUAAGCUGCCUUGACACAGGC